CACUCAGCUGAAUUACUCCUUAGCUCAGCAGAUUCAAAGGCACUGACAACUUUUUAAAGAAUACUUUAAAACAGGAAUGUUCUUUUGUAUUUUACCUUUUCAUCAAAGUCUUCAGACUUUACCAGGUAAGACCUACAGUGUAGAUCCUCUCAACUCCAUGUCCACAUAGGAUGAAAGAUGCUCCAUAGGGCAGACAGGUUUCCCCCUUCUCCAUUCUCUGGGGACAGCUGAAUGCUUCUCAGUUUGCCUGACACCUGCCUCUCUGGUGCCUGUGUGCCUGUGCCAUGCCAGGUGGUGAUGGGCUCCCUGUGUCCCACACAGGGCUUGCUCCUGUUCUGGCUCCAGACAACGGUGUCAGACCCUGUGUGCCUCUCAGAGAGAUCCCAACUGGGGCAGAGUCAGAGUUGUCUGUGCUCAAAGACCAGUCUGAUGGAGCAUGGUAAUUACUGCGUUCUUCUGGAGGCUCCUUGUGAUGACCAAAUUAGCAGGAAACUCUACAAGGUAUAAUGUGCUCCUGACAUAUGACAAGGCUGGGGGAGAGGAAAUGAAAUGAAAAUGGGUCAAGAGUGGGAGGCCUGGACUGAAGCAAUUCCCUGUGGUGCCAGGGUCCAUUUAAGAGUCAAAACAGCAGCACAUUACAAAGAGGGUGUAAGAAAGGCUGGUUUCAUUGUCCAGACUGAGCAAACUGGCCUUUCCACUAGUCUCCUCCUCAGCAGUGCCUGUAGCACCUGCAGCACCAACAUUUAAUGUAUUGCCUUGCUGGUUUGAAUGGUUUUCUGCCUUUGUUUUUACCGUGGAGCAACAGGCAGCAAAGCAGAACAGGGAUCCUUAAAGGAGAUCACUUUUUAUCAUUGGAAAUACUUACAGACUCUAUCUGUGCUGGUGCAGGUUGUUGUCACACCAACUGGGGAUUCUUUAGCCAGUUUAAGUCUCUCUAUAGUGGAAAAACUCAAGGGGAGCCCAAGGCACUUCUGCAUGGACAGAGCCAUCACCAGGAUGGAAAGGCAAAGGAUGCAUCAGGGGAUGGCCUUUGACAGCGAGCUGGGAAGGGAGCUCCAGCACUGCCUCGUUGCAAACAGGAGCUGGCCUGGCACAGCCUCUGGAAUCCAUGCUCCUCUCUGAGCCUGCAGACAUGAAGGUGUCCCACAUCCAGGGCAGUGGAAGUCUCGGUGCUUUUAGCAGGUUGAUCCCACAUGAGACAUCCACCAUCCACAGAGCAUCCGUGGCCGAAUCAACAAGUGAAUCCAAAUCAUUCAGCUUCCUCCCUAUUAGCAGGUAAUUGGUGGCAUCCUGGCCUCUCAGGCACCAGACGGUUCCUCAUAAAACAUUCAGAUUGGAGUUAUCCAAAGAGGAAAAUGAGGAGGGAGGGAUUUUUCCACCUGAUGGACGUGGCAUGUAAUUAUGGCAGGCAUAUCCCGAUGCUUUGUCUGUGCUGCUCGCUGCGGCGAUGCCGAAGAAUUCCUUGAUAUUCAAGAAGUGCCCUGACCAAGUCAGGUUUCCAUAAUAUGAUUACAUUAUGAAAUUCUAUUUCACGCCUGCAUAUUAUAGCGUGCACAGCAGCACUUUCAUCACGCAUCAGAGCGUAGUUUGCUCCGCUCUGAUACCACUCACCAGAGGAUGUCUACAAAUGGAAUUAUUUCAGGAUAGUUAUCCUAAAUAACUCCGUGUAGGGAAACCUGUAUUGUAGCACAAAAGCACCUUGCUCUCCUUUAUCGUAAUCCAUUUUAAAUGUGGAUUAUGCUGAUGCAGAACAGGGCACUCCUAUUUUGGAAUAGUUUUAAAUAGGAAUAGGUUUUGUGCUUUUGGCUCACACCCUGCAUUAUCCAAAACAGCUUUGAAGUGUAAACAAGCCUCUAAUGUGCCUCUAUUUCCAUUCUGCUCCCUGGCUCCUCCUUGUUCCCUGGUUCUUCCUUUGGGAAGAUCCAAAGCAAAACCAGACCUGCAGAGCCUGUCAUUUAGGUCUUUGCUUUCCCAAACUUCAUACCAAGGGACAUCACCAAUCUGAUUCCCAACUUAAAUGCAUCCCCAAGCUUCUGAAGGGAGAAUUGAGAUGCAGGUUUCUGACUCUGUGCCAUCCCCACAAAUUAAACCAGUACCUGUUUCCUUUCACACUUUUCUAACCUCCUGUGGGACAGUUUGGGGUUUUUCUCUGUUAUCAUCAGCCUAUUCUGCAGCCUGCAGAGAAAACUGAGGGCUACGACUCUGAGAAAGGUCCAAAGCUUCAAGGCCAGGUUGGACACAGGGGCUUGGAGCAGCUGCUCUAGUGGAAGGGGUUGGGGUUGGAGCUGGAUGAGCUCUUAGGUCCCUUAACCCAAACCAUUUGAUGAUUCUCUGCAACAGAGCAGCUGACUUGGAGAACCCCAUUGCAUGCACAUUAUUUUGUCUGCUAAUUUAUCACUCAUUGUCUUGAUAGGUCCUCCUGUAGCCCUUUGCAGACAGGUUCUGAUUUGCCUAUCCUGAGUGAUGCUGGCACAUCUGCAGACACACAGGUCACUUCAUCCCCAGCAUCACCAGAGGCACCGGCUGCCGUGGCUGGGGAGAUGAGGGCACUCAGGCCAGCUCCUGUCAUUCCUUCUCUGUGACUGCACAGACCAAACAUCAGGCAGGGAGGAGGCUGUUCCUUAAAUCUAUGUGGUAUUUCAAGGUACAGCCACAGGGGCAGAAGGCUCCUGGUUCACAAAGACGAUGGAGGGGCUUGCUUCAAAUAAAAAGAGGUUUAUUAAGGUAAUGAGAAUGACA
rnacentral:lncRNA from 14 species